CCAGACUCCUACGGGAGGCAGCAGUGGGGAAUAUUGCACAAUGGGGGAAACCCUGAUGCAGCGACGCCGCGUGAGUGAAGAAGUAUUUCGGUAUGUAAAGCUCUAUCAGCAGGGAAGAUAAUGACGGUACCUGACUAAGAAGCCCCGGCUAACUACGUGCCAGCAGCCGCGGUAAUACGUAGGGGGCAAGCGUUAUCCGGAUUUACUGGGUGUAAAGGGUGCGUAGGUGGCAGGGCAAGUCAGAUGUGAAAGCCCGGGGCUCAACCCCGGUACUGCAUUUGAAACUGUCCAGCUGGAGUGCAGGAGAGGUAAGCGGAAUUCCUAGUGUAGCGGUGAAAUGCGUAGAUAUUAGGAGGAACACCAGUGGCGAAGGCGGCUUACUGGACUGUAACUGACACUGAGGCACGAAAGCGUGGGGAGCAAACAGGAUUAGAUCCCCCUGUA
rnacentral:rRNA from 1 species